UCAGGAGAGAUAUUAGUUAAGAGAACUGUCAGCACAAUGAGUGAGAUUUCUAUCAACAUUUCCAACACCAUAAGAAGAAAGACAAAGCCUGAUAGCGCAUUUACUUACGAGCUGCAUCUAAAUUAGCAACAGAUCUGCAACCUUUCAUCUCAUGGGCUCUACCCUGCUGCUGCUGCUGCUUGACAUGUCAAAGAAAGAAAAUAAUGGCCAAGGAAAGUAGCUCAAGAGACAUCAGGAGAGACUGAAGAUAGCAAGUGCUCAAUCUGGCAGCGAUGUAGUGAGUGCCAUAUUAAAUACUGCCUUCUUACAAGUGUCAUUAAAAUAUAAAUAAUUUUAAUGAGUUUAUUUAUUUAAUAAAAUGUACACCAGUUAAUA